rnacentral:tRNA from 1 species
GCCGACGUAUUCCAACAGGCAGAGAAACGCCGCUUAGAUCGGCGCCAGUGCGGGUUCGAAUCCCGCCGUCGGCACCC